UUGCAUCUAAUGUCCUGGGGAAAGAUCUGCAAACCAAAAAGACGGGCGGCCUCAGUCUGUAUGAACGCCAAGCUGAUGGUAGUCUUGUUCUUAAUACUGAGUCAUUAUGGUGUGGGUUGGUCUGUAAGUUUGGCUAUUUGGAAAUCUGUGUUAGCAAGCUUAGUUAUUCAGGAGGGUUUCUUAUGGACCAUUAGCAAUGGGC
rnacentral:lncRNA from 1 species